UUAUGGCCAUAUGACGUUGAAACACCAGUUCUCGUACGAUCACUGAAGUUAAGCAACGCCAAACCUGGUCAGCACCGAGACGGGUGACCGCUUGAGAAUACCAAGUGUU